GGGCCCGCACAAGCGGUGGAGCAUGUGGUUUAAUUCGAUGAUACGCGAGGAACCUUACCAGGGCUUAAAUGUAAGUUGCAUAGAUCAGAGAUGAUCUUUUCUUCGGACCACUUACAAGGUGCUGCAUGGUUGUCGUCAGCUCGUGCCGUGAGGUGUCAGGUUAAGUCCUAUAACGAGCGCAACCCCUGUCGUUAGUUGCCAGCAAGUAAUGUUGGGUACUCUAGCGAGACUGCCGGUGCAAACCGUGAGGAAGGUGGGGACGACGUCAAAUCAUCACGGCCCUUACGUCCUGGGCUACACACGUGCUACAAUGGCCGGCACAGAGAGCAGCCACUACGCGAGUAGGAGCGAAUCUUCAAAACCGGUCUCAGUUCGGAUCGCAGUCUGCAACUCGACUGCGUGAAGCUGGAAUCGCUAGUAAUCG
rnacentral:rRNA from 1 species